rnacentral:rRNA from 1 species
AUUGAACGCUGGCGGCAGGCCUAACACAUGCAAGUCGAGCGGAUGAAGGGAGCUUGCUCCUGGAUUCAGCGGCGGACGGGUGAGUAAUGCCUAGGAAUCUGCCUGGUAGUGGGGGAUAACGUCCGGAAACGGGCGCUAAUACCGCAUACGUCCUGAGGGAGAAAGUGGGGGAUCUUCGGACCUCACGCUAUCAGAUGAGCCUAGGUCGGAUUAGCUAGUUGGUGGGGUAAAGGCCUACCAAGGCGACGAUCCGUAACUGGUCUGAGAGGAUGAUCAGUCACCCUGGACCUGAGCCACGGUCCAGACUCCUACGGGAGGCAGCAGGGGGAAAUUUGGGACGAGGGGCGAAAGCCUGAUCCAGCCAUGCCGCGUGUGUGAAGAAGGUCUUCGGGUUGUAAAGCACUUUAAGUUGGGGGGAAGGGCAGUAAGUUAAUCCCUGGCUGUUUUGACGUUACCAACAGAAUAAGCCCCGGCUAACUUCGG